AACGUAGGAGACAAACGUUAUCCGGAGUUACUGGGCGUAAAGGGCGCGUAGGCGGUUCGCUAAGUUGAAUGUGAAAACUCUGGGCUUAACCCAGAGCCUGCAUUCAAUACUGGCGGGCUAGAGUUCUGGAGGGGAUAGCGGAAUUCCUGGUGUAGAGGUGAAAUUCGUAGAUAUCAGGAGGAACACCGGUGGCGAAGGCGACCACCUGGACGGAGACUGACGCUGAGGCGCGGAAGCGUGGGGAGCAAACAGG
rnacentral:rRNA from 1 species